UUUAUUGGUCGCUGGCUCCUCGGCGCUGCGAGGAGCUUGAGAGGCGGGGUGGCGGCUGUGUGGUCUUCCUGCCCCCCUCACCGCCCGGGGUUGGUGGUGACCUCGCCCUCGGGCCUCCCCCCGCUCCCCCUCCCGUCCAGUCCACUGCCUUCUGGAAGCCUGAAGUCCCCCCUCACCCCGACUCCUCCGCUGUGCUGUGUGCCCGGCCGAGGGCCACUUACCACACCAGGCAGAGUAUGGGCACCUAAUGGAGUCACGAUCCAGAGAGACCCCCUCAUGCGUGACAGAUCUCUCAGCGCUGCCGCUAACCAGAUGGCCUGGAAAGUUGUUGGACACCAACAACUGCCUGGAAAUUCAUUAAUCUUGGUCUUUUGAGAAAAUCUUCAGGAUUUAUUUGCAAGGGCAAGGUUUUGGAAGCAGGCUCCAGGACUCCAUCCAGAUCCAUUUUCCUGGCACCUAACUUGAAGACAGUGCCCAAGCUCUAGGUGACAGGAGAGGGCACACUCAUUUCCCGUGUGCCUGGCAUUGAGGCAGGCACUGCGGGACUCACGCGCCAGAACCCCACAGCACAAUGGCCUUUGGAUGCCUCUACGUGUCCUGGAAAGGAGAGCCAACUUGAUGAACGCAAUUUGCUGCACAACUGCUUCGGCUUCCGUAGCAACUGGCAUCAAUCAUCAGGACUGCUGUCCUCGCUGGACAGCCAGAGCCCAGUUCAGCUCCCGCCUGCAUGGAUCUUGGACAUGGUCUAGGGUCAUAAUAGGAUGAUAAAGCUGGUGCUUUUUAAAAGCUUUUACUAUAAGUAACAUCCCUCAUUUGAUGAAAUAGAUAUAUUUCUGCCAACUUGGCUCUCUUGCCUAAACCUUGGUGUUUUCCAGGCUAGUAAUUCUUCAAACGUGAUGUUUUAUAGAAUGUAAAGUGAGUUAAUUCUUCCUUUUGUCAGUGUUGUAAGUUCCAUAUGGAGUUUGCUCAGUCAGAAAAGCAUCUGUAUUAAUCACACAGACCAAAAUUAUCUAGUGGACCUAAACUGUACAUUUUAAUGAUUAUUCUCCACAGAUGACAAAGCAGCCCAUUUGAAUAGCUACCCAGUUUUAGUAAGAAGGCUAGGAAUUAUAUCAAGUGAAUGGAAUUGCAUUAUUUAAGCUUAAAUUCAUUUUUUUCCUAUUAAAAACAUCCCCAAUUCAAUAAAUUACAACACGUAUUUUGAAAUAUUUGGGGAAUGAUCUUAUCUGCUCUACUUCCAUUCUUAAACAGCUGAAUUAAAAACAUUCUUCCUACUAAGUCUUCAAAAUGAGAAAUUGUUAACUAUUGAUGAUACUUUCCCUUGAUUAAAUAAGGAAAUAGAAUUCAGGCUUUGCUUGGAAGGACAUCAUUUCAGAAGCCAAUUUGUUUUUUUUUUAACUUCAUUAAAGCAACAAAAUGUGGGUGGUUAAUCUGAGGGAAAGCUGCCAUUUUCUAAAAAUGCAUUAAGACUUAACUGGACGGGUGGUUGCAUGACAAGAGCUAUUUAGGAUUAGAAAGUAGUUGUGAUUUGUAUUUAAAUGAAUUGCACACUAUUUACAAAUUCUUCAGCAGUUAAUUUGGAUCAUUUCCAUUCUACUGCAAGCAGAAAGCAGACCUUUCUGCCUAGUUACCCUAACUUCGAAGUCUGUUCCUAGAGGAAUCAAGUUUGUCCUCCAUAUGUUGGCUUUGAUGGGGAUGAGCCCGAGGGACUCCAUGCUUUCACUUGAAUUUAUCCUCUUUCUGGAUACUAUUAAAUCACUUCUGCCUCAAGCGGAGGACUGAUCUCCGCUUCAAAGGCUGCUAAAGAGUGAGUUAUUUACCAAAUUGCACAAAAGGGAGGAUUUAUCAAGCCCUUUUUCUCCCAGAGAGGACAACCUCAGAACCAGAGGACUUUAUUACUCUUUCUUGGCUACAAAUUAUGGCAUUCAGAUGCUUUUGAAAGCAGCUCUUCAUGCUCUUGCUUGAGUCAUAAAAUUUGAUACCUGGGGCCAAAUGCCUUUAUCCACCCCUCACUCCUCCCCACCAGAGGGUGAAGAAGAUGAAAAAAGUGCCAAUUCCAGGCAAGUGCCACACAAAAACCAAUGAUUGGGCAGGAAAUGUGGGCAGUGGGAACACUUACUCUACAUAAUUCACACCUCCUUGACCUGCUAUUCUACCCUGGAAUGAAUUUUACCAUUUGCAUAAGAUCACUGGACCCUCCAAAACCUGAAUUUACCAUUUGGAGGACAUUAGGAAUAACCAAUACCACCAAUCUGACUGACUGUUGUCAUUACCUAUAAUACUGGGAUUUUAGAUUUUGUGAAUUUCAGUAAGUCAAGUCAGCCACUCACCUGAAGAGGGUUUGCUGGGGCCUGCUUUCUCCAGUUUCCUUGGAGUCAUGGUACUUUUAUGUUUCUGUUUGACUGAUGUUUGGUCAAUUGCUGGAAGUCUGGAAUCACACUGAGCUGCAGAACUCUUGGUAGAUGGUCUUGGUUCGGCUAGAGGAUCCUCCUCAGCAGAACUCUACCAAAAAUGAAAGGUGUCAGUAUCAGUGGCCAAGUGGGUCAUCUUUGCUAUGCAGAGGAGAGAAGAGCUGAAUGCAUGGCCUCCUUUAGCGCUAACACUGGAGCAUCCUGUCAUGCUUAAUAUGCCUUUUUACCAGUGAGAUUUUGAUGGACUGUAUCAAUUUAGAAGUACCAGUUAGAAAUAAUAGCAAAGUUAAUGAGUCUGUUUUGUAGAACAUAAAAAGAAGGCACUUCUGUGAGUCUAUCAUGUAGAACAUUAUGGCAAGAAUGCAUUUCUGACCCUUAUGUAAACCCAAACAGCUCAUGUUAAAGGCUACAUAAGAAAGCAGAGGAAGCAAUCAAUGCCCUUAAA